rnacentral:rRNA from 1 species
UACGUAGGAUGCAAGCGUUGUCCGGAAUUAUUGGGCGUAAAGAGCGCGCAGGCGGUAUGACAAGUCAGAUGUGAAAGAGGCCGGCUUAACCGGCAAGGGUCAUUUGAAACUGUCAGACUAGAGUGCAGCAGAGGAUAGUGGAAUUCCCGGUGUAGUGGUGAAAUGCGUAGAUAUCGGGAGGAACACCAGUGGCGAAGGCGACUAUCUGGGCUGCAACUGACGCUGUGGCGCGAAAGCUAGGGGAGCAAACGGG